UACGAGGGGUCCAAGCGUUGUUCGGAAUUACUGGGCGUAAAGCGGGUGUAGGUGGACUGAUCAGUCGGAUGUGAAAGCCCUGGGCUCAACCCAGGAGUGCAUCCGAUACUGUCAGUCUUGAGUACUGGAGAGGGAAGUGGAAUUCCUGGUGUAGCGGUGAAAUGCGUAGAUAUCAGGAGGAACAUCGGUGGCGAAGGCGGCUUCCUGGCCAUGUACUGACACUCAGACCCGAAAGCGUGGUAGCAACAGAUAGAUACCCCGUACCGCA
rnacentral:rRNA from 1 species